AAACUUAUACAAUUACUAUAUAUAUAAUAAUUUGUCAUCUUCAUUCUUAGAAUCCUCCCAUCGUAGUGUUGCUCGGUUUGGCUAUUGAAUGUCCGUCAUAAUAAAAUUCUCCCGCGGGAUUUAUCAUCUUGUCCACCAAAAAUUCUAUGAGACCUUCUUGGAUUGCCAAAAUCCUCUCCUUCUCCAAGAGUUUUUCUUGAAUUUGCAUCAUUUGUAAUUUGAGAAUAUGUGAAUGUUACACGAACAAUUAAAUAUAAGGAGCUAGAAAAUAAAUAAUUAUUAAUAGUUUUAUUUUACGUACAUGUAUAUAUUCCGACGAUAUCACCUUUUCAUGCACAAAAUUAUUCAUGUGCUCACAGAC
rnacentral:lncRNA from 1 species